CUUCCCGGAUGCGUUGUUCUUUUUGUUGAAAAUUUUCACCAAACAAGUGACGACCACACUUAUCUAAACUACAGUGAUGUUGACACUGGAUUUGAAAUUUACCGAACCAGAAGUACAUCCUUUGCCAUAACAGGCAAUCUCACGGCCUGGAUCCGUCUCCAUACUACUCUUUAGUGAACAGUAUUGAAUGCAUACAACUAUUUUCUAACAGUGAUUCAGUGCUCAGCUAUUGUAAACCAUUUAAGACUCAUCCUGAAACUUCUGAAUGAAAUAAGACUGAAGCUUUUAGACUAUGAAUGGUGCAGAGGCUUCACAUACUCAUUAGACUCUCAUGUAAUGUAGUAACAACUAGCUGAAGACUGGCUGUGCUGUUCAUCACCUUCCUUCAGCAGAAAAAGAAUCAUGGAGAGCCCAGUUCCACCACCAGUUUCUAAAGAUACUUUAGAAAACAGCAUGCUCAUCCCUGUAUCACAACAUCCAGAAUAUGAAAGCACACAAACUCAGUCGGACAUGAACUUCGAUAAGGUUAAACUACAGCAGCCAAAAAAACAAGAUCAUGGACAAAGAGAUGCAGCAGAGUUAUGUGACACCUGCAUGGGCUGUCAAGAUGGUUGUUUUAUCCCUUUUUUAUGUUGUUGUAUUUGUUUGCUUGAAAGCAGGUGAUGGUUAUCAGAGAAAUUUAACAGUAAGACAGCUACAGACUCACUGAUACAAAUAAACAGACUUGAUGUGAUA